GAGAUUCUGACACAAUGUUUAGA
rnacentral:miRNA from 1 species